GUUCAAGGGCUCCUUGGCAGCAAGGCAAAAACAUGGUAGAGCACGAGGCUCUUAAUCUCAAGGCUGUGGGUUCAAGCCCCACAUUGGGUACA